UGCGAAAUCGGCAGGGGUUCAAAUACUUAUUUUCCCCACUGUAUUUAUGCAUGCAUGUAUGUAGUAAGUGCUAAGAGUGGCUCUCCUACUCAGGUCUUUCAUGGCUAAAGGUGAGGUUAGUGGCGCAGGUGGAUGAGUGUGUCCACUGCUGCACUGGAGCCCCUUGCUCCCCUCGUCUGAAGGUCUGUGCUCCCCUCGUCUGAAGGUCUGUGCUCCCCUCGUCUGAAGGUCUCUGCUCCCCUCGUCUGAAGCCCCUUGCUCCCCUCGUCUGAAGGUCUGUGCUCCCCUCGUCUGAAGGUCUCUGCUCCCCUCGUCUGAAGCCCCUUGCUCCCCUCGACUGAAGGUCUCUGCUC
ensembl:lncRNA